AUAGAGCAACAACUCUAUACAGUUUUAGUGAGCCCCGGUUAUCUUUCCUCGCCCGCCAAAGUGAAGAAGAUAUUCGGGGUUUUUGCUU
rnacentral:antisense_RNA from 1 species